rnacentral:lncRNA from 1 species
CUCUAGAAGUGCAUCUUCAAUCUCUAAAAAAAUUUUAAAAAUUUGAAGAAAAGAUCUAGAUCAACCAAGAAGAAGGUCUUUGCGUGAGCUAGCACUCUCGAGAAGAUCGAUCAAAUUGGGGCUUCGAGUGGACUUUUCAUAGAGGCUGGAUAUGUAUGUAGCUGUGAGCAACCAGCAAAGAUUCUCUCUACCACAUUCA